rnacentral:rRNA from 1 species
CGGUGGAGCAUGUGGUUUAAUUCGACGCAACGCGAAGAACCUUACCAGGGCUUGACAUCCCUGACCGCGUAUGAAAGUACGUUUUCACCCUCGGGUGACAGGGAGACAGGUGGUGCAUGGUUGUCGUCAGCUCGUGUCGUGAGAUGUUGGGUUAAGUCCCGCAACGAGCGCAACCCCUAUUGUUAGUUGCCAUCAUUCAGUUGGGCACUCUAGCGAGACUGCCGGUAAUAAACCGGAGGAAGUGGGGAUGACGUCAAAUCAUCAUGCCCCUUAUGACCUGGGCUACACACGUGCUACAAUGGUUGGUACAACGAGUUGCGAGUCGGUGACGGCGAGCUAAUCUCUUAAAGCCAAUCUCAGUUCGGAUUGUAGGCUGCAACUCGCCUACAUGAAGUCGGAAUCGCUAGUAAUCGCGGAUCAGCACGCCGCGGUGAAUACGUUCCCGGGCCUU